UGCCGUCUGCUCCCGGCUGAUAGAGCUCGUGCUCGCUCCCGAUGACGCUGAGCGCGAGCUACUCUGAGAUGGAUCAACAACAACAGACUUCAUGAGGACCACGAUGGACCCCGUUAGGACCCGGACUCUGGGAUCCUCCAUGGAAGCUCUACUGGUUUCUGUUGUGGGUUUACUGGUUCAGCCCCAUUGACUGCUGACGUACACACGAGGGACACAAACACGAAGAGACGACAGGAGGAGGAGGACGAGGAGGAGAAAGAAUAAGGAGAAGAA